CACAUCGCGCCUCCGUGGCCCUGCCGGCGCGGGGGGAGCGGGACGGCGGCGUGCAUCGGGGCGAUUACGGUAUCAGCGCGGCCCAGAGAGAGGCCGGAGGAUGCACGGUGGGAGCGGGGCUGGGGCUGGGGCCGGGGCGGCACGGCGCGGCCCGGGGUCCCGGGGGAGGCCGCGCCCGGCAUGAGGAGAGGCGCCACCUCCGCGCCGCCCACCGGGUGAGAGGGCGGCGGCUCCCCGGGCGCCCCGGUCUGCCUCCUGGCCGCCCGACCCCAGGCAGGCGUCCGGGCCGGCUCUGUCCCUGGAAGCUGCCCCGAAACCUGCCCGGGACUAGGACCCUGCCAGACACCCAAGGGAGCGCAGCGGAGCGCGGCGAAGCGCAGCGCUGGCUCCCCUGCGCUCCCUCACCUGAGCUCACCUCCAUUUCCGCAGAGCACACCUACGUCCUGCACGGAGCACGACGGCUCCUGGCCCAGCGCGGUGGCGGGACGUGCCCGCUCCCGGUUUGGCCAAGUCCCGGCCCGACCCGACCCUCUCGGCCUUGCCCGUGGCAGAAGAGCCUGAACACAACGCUGCUGCUACGAGCAGUGGCAUCGUUCAGAGGAUGAACGAUAAACCGGAGAAUCAACACUUAUUUGUUAAGGAAACGCGUUUCCAUUACACGUCUGCGGAGGAGCACCGUGAAGGCUGGGAGGAGGACAAUGACAGCACGCUGGAGCAAGACAGUCAUUGUUCAGUGCAGAACUCCUUCCAAAAAGCACUCGUCCAAGAUAGCAGGUUUUUUCCACAAGAAAAGAAAUAAAGGGAAUUUGACACAUAAUACAAAGUGAAAACCAGAACCUAGAUGGGGGAAGGGCGUGUGUGUGAAAAUCAUGUCACCGCAAUGAAUGUCAGAUAAAAAGGGGUCUGUCACAAAUCCUUCACUAAUCCAAUAAUGUGAAAACCUCUUGGUAUCACUGAGACAUAGCACACGCCAAAGGACCACCUAUAUGCCAGUACAUUGACAUGAAAGUGAUGGUAACUGAGAAGUCUACCUUGAAACAUACCCCUGGAAGACUGUGCUUACAGUGAACCUUUUUGACUAAACCUAGCUAAAGCCACCACUGAAGCCUAGGACUUAAAUGGAGCACUGCAUUUUUUAUUCAGCACCUUUGUUAAUGCAGUAGUAUCCUGCUUUACAGCUACAAGUACAUGACAGCCAUACAGCAAUUUAUUUUACUACAGCCCAACCAUCACCGUCUGUACACAAAACACUUUUACAAUAAAAUCACUAUGGUUUUCAUUAAGAGAAAGCCUACUCGAAUUUCAUUUCUUUGGACCUAAUCUAUAAUUAGUGUGGACAGACAGGUGCAAACCCUUCUCCUCUACAGAUGGCUACUGGAAAUGGUGCAAAAUAGCUCCUUCUGUUUAAACAACACACAGAUAACCUGCUCUGCUCUUAUCACUUACAAUUACCUCCAUUAUACUGAACUAAUGUUUACUUUAAUAAAAUGUCCACUGUUCUCUAAACGUUAUUUGGAAACUUCGAUAUCGAUGGCAGAAAAGAAAAAAAAUGAAGAUGGAAGUCAUUGUCUUUCAGAUGAAAA